CCUGUUGUGGGUGGGCAUCGGGGGCUUCGAGCCCGAAAGUCCCAUACCGGAAGUUUAUAAAAGAGGCUACUGCUUAAGUAUUGCCAGCCUCCCUCUCCCACGUGAGGCGCCUUUUGCGGGGCAAAACCGUGAGGGGCGGGGUGUUAACCGGAUCAAAGGCCUGGGCCCCGUUCCAGAGCGGACAAUACCUCACGAUUGGUGAGGGGCGAUGGGUUGGUACGACUUGGGUAGUAGUGCUCUACCAGUGGCGCCGUCUGUGGGAUCCCGUCCCCUAUCCGCGCAGUAGCCUCCUUUGCAGGGGGGCUUCUGUUGUGGGCGGGCAUCGGGGGCUUCGAGCCCGAAAGUCCCAUACCGGAAGUUUACAAAAGAGACUACUGCUUAAGUAUUGCCAGCCUCCUUCUCCCACGUGAGGCGCCUUUUGCGGGGCAAAACCGUGAGGGGCGGGGUGUUUACCGGGUCAAAGGCCCGGGCCCCGCUCCAGAGCGGACAAUACCUCACGAUUGG
rnacentral:lncRNA from 1 species